AAAAAAAAGUGGCCACGCAAAUAAAACUAUGGACAAUCCAAUUAAAAGCGCGAGUAAACAGCCUCGAGUUCCCAUGAUCCCUGGAAGUUCAGCAAUCAAUCCUUGCUUUACUUUUCUUUGCUUUGCUGAUUUUCUUGCAUGCUUGCUUCUUGGUUGAUGGACACCCGCCGCUCAAAGUCAAGACUCUCCACGAUUUCUUUUCUUUUUUGCUUGCUAGCAAGCAUGCUUUGUUGACUAAAAUCGCAGGAAGUCGCUGCUUUCGAUCAGCCGAUGCUAGUUGGAUUCAUUGGUAGCUGCUGCAGCAAAAGGAUGGAAUUAGAUUCUUCUUCGAUUGAGUAGAUUACCGGAUCCGCCAGAGGGGAGAGCUCGCUCGGAGCUGGAGAUGGCAUCGUACGAGAAAAUCAGAAGCAAUGGAGCAUGGAUUUCAUCCAGACCUGUGAAAAUUCUGCUGCUCAUCUUCCUCCUGGGACCCCCUUUUCUCCUCAUUUGCAUUGAAACUAUCGUCGAGCAGCAAGGGAGAGAAUUGACUUCCACCAUCCUGGACAAGCUCAGCUUCGAUAGCCUCAGCAAUACCACGAGCAGCAACGAGACUAGCACCACCAGCAGCACCAGCAGCAGCAAUGUCACCACCAAGAACAAUGUAAGUAGUGAAGACGAUUGCCCCUGCCACAGUAGAUGCGAGCAGGAUUCCCUGCGGCGGCCAUCUCGAAUUCACAGUCUACCCCCGGCCCUGUCCACUGCAUUGGCUGCGUACGAGAGGAUGCAUUCCAGUUGCUACCACUCGCGAGACUUGAGCAAAGCCAUCCAGGCUCCAGAUCCAAAUGACCCCUGUAGAUAUCUCGUCUUCCUCCAGGACGGCAAAUUCGGCCUGGGUAACCACAUCCUCUCUCUCCUGUCCGCCUUCGUCUACUCCCUGCUCACCAACAGGAUGCUUCUCGUCGACACGCGAAACCAUAUUCCCGAGCUCUUUUGCGAGCCUUUUCGAAACUCCUCCUGGCUGCUGCCUCCUGAUUUUCCAUACGAUCGUCUGCUUCUAGCACCGAUGCUUGCAGAUGGCCUCAAACAGAAGUUCAGUUACGGCAGCACUGUCCACCUGAUGCUGCUCAGCCAGCAAACGCCGCAAGAGCAGCUUUUCUUCUGUCCCGACACUCAGACCCGGCUCGAGAAAGUGCGCUGGAUUGGCUGGAGCAGCAACCAAUACUAUGUUCCCAGAUUUUUCACGUUCCCACGCUUCUGGAGGCCUCUAGUUUCUCUGUUCCCGGAUGUCUCCUUGAUCUUCACGCACCUAAGUAGGUACCUCAUUCUUCCUCAAAACCCCGUCUGGGAGAAAAUCCGUCGCUACCAUUUCGCGUAUUCGUCACUGGUUCCGGGAAAGGCAGUAGGAGUCCAG
rnacentral:lncRNA from 1 species